CGGAGGAAAAGAAACUAACAAGGAUUCCCCUAGUAGCGGCGAGCGAAGCGGGAACAGCCCGGUGUGAAAAUCUCUUCGGAGAAUUGUAUUCGAGUGUCCUUGGGUGGUCAGUGCGGGCAAGUCGCUUGGAAUGGCGCGCCAUGGAGGGUGAGAGCCCCGUCCAUCCCGCACAGGAUCCAUCCGCACGAGGGCGCUUCAACCGAGUCGGGUAGCUUGGGAAUGCUGCUCUAAUUGGUGGUAAAUCUCAUCAAAGGCUAAAUAGUGGUGGGAGACCGAUAGCGAACAAGUACCGUGAGGGAAAGAUGGAAAGUACUUUGAAAAGAGAGUGAAAAGAACUUGAAACCGUCACGGGGGAAGCGAAUUGCGUGAGUGGUGGUACCGCUUGUUCAGCGCCUUUGGCGUGCAUUCUGGCGGUACCUUGUCGUCGUGGCUGGCUGGUGUGUGAAUUUGACACGCCGGCUGGUGAGGGCUCCCUUUUCUGGUGAGGACGACGACAAAAUGACGCAAUACGACCCGUCUUGAAACACGGACCAAGGAGUCUAGCACGGCUGCGAGUCGAAGGGUGUAAAACCCAAGGGCGCAGUGAAAGCGAAAUCAUAAGCAAGUUGGGGAGGCGUUGCGUUUUUAACAAAAUGUCCUACCUUGAGCACUUGUGCUGGGACCCGAAAGAUGGUGAACUAUGCCGGAGUAGGGCAAAGCCAGAGGAAACUCUGGUGGAGGCUCGUAGCGAUGCUGACGUGCAAAUCGCUCGUCGAACUUGGGUAUAGGGGCGAAAGACUAAUCGAACCAUCUAGUAGCUGGUUCCCUCCGAAGUUUCUCUCAGGAUAGCGGGCCGACAUAUGUUGUUUUGUGCGGUAAAGCGAAUGAUUAGUGCAUUUGGGGUCCGAAGGACUUCAGGCGAUUCUCAAACUUUAAAUGCGCAAGGGGGUGGCUGCUUAAUUGAGCCUACUCUUCGAAAAACGUCGGCCCUGUGGGCCACUUUUGGUAAGCAGAACUGGCGAUAAGGGAUGAACCUUAAGCGCGGUUAAGGCGCCGCAUUGCCCGCUUAUAGACCCCACAAAAGGUGUUGAUUCAUUUAGACAGCAGGACGGUGGCCAUGGAAGUCGGAAUCCGCUAAGGAGUGUGUAACAACUCACCUGCCGAAUGAAUUAGCCCUGAAAAUGGAUGGCGCUGAAGCGGGCAGCCGACACCGCGCCGUUCCGGCGAGACGAUGCCGGGAUGAGUAGGAGGGCGUGGCGGUCAGUGACGCAGGCGAGGGUGCAGACCCCGCUGAAACGGCCGCUAGUGCAGAUCUUGGUGGUAGUAGCAAAUAUUCAAGCGAGAUCCUUGAAGGGCGAAGCGGGGAAGGGUUCCACGCAAACAUUGAUUGGGCGUGGGUGAGUCGUUCCUAAGCCGAGUGGCAAUUGCUAAGUAGCGGCGAAAGGGAAGCGGGUUAAAAUUCCCGCACACGGAUAUGGAGGCGGCGACGCAAGCAGAGCUGAAUACGCUGGCGAGGGCGCCGGGCAGAGUUGUCUUUUCUGUUUGACCGGCAUCGCGCAGUGUGGAAUCCGCUUAUCGGGAGAAACACGCGCGGGGAGGGGCAGAGCGUCAGGUCUUUUCUGGCGUCCGGCUCGCCCUCGACGGCCCCUGAAAAUUCAGCCGCGAACUUAAUUUCAUGCUGUGACGUACCGAUAACCGCAUCAGGUCCCCAAGGUGAACAGCCUCUGCUCAAUAUGAACAAUGCAGGUAAGGGAAGUCGGCAAAAUAGACCCGUAACUUUGGGAAAAGGGUUGGCUCUAGUGGAGCGGGGGUUUUCAAAGGGUGCUCACCUGUGCUUGUCGCAGGGCGAUCGUGGCUAGCUUUCGCUGGAAACUUUUGCUCAGCGGCUUGCGCGGGGGACGCUACUCGCCCUCAGCAUGCUCCAGACUAGAACUGCAACGGGCAAAGGGAAUCCGACUGUUUAAUUAAAACAAAGCAUUGCGAAGGCCGUGGCCGGUGAUGACGCAAU
rnacentral:rRNA from 1 species